rnacentral:rRNA from 1 species
GACGAACGCUGGCGGCGUGCUUAACACAUGCAAGUCGAACGGAAAGACCCUGCUUUUGUGGGGUGCUCGAGUGGCGAACGGGUGAGUAACACGUGAGUAACCUGCCCUUGACUUUGGGAUAACUUCAGGAAACUGGGGCUAAUACCGGAUAGGAGCUCCUGCUGCAUGGUGGGGGUUGGAAAGUUUCGGCGGUUGGGGAUGGACUCGCGGCUUAUCAGCUUGUUGGUGGGGUAGUGGCUUACCAAGGCUUUGACGGGUAGCCGGCCUGAGAGGGUGACCGGCCACAUUGGGACUGAGAUACGGACCAGACUCCUACGGGAGGCAGCAGUGGGGAAUAUUGCACAAUGGGCGGAAGCCUGAUGCAGAAACGCCGCGUGCGGGAUGACGGCCUUCGGGUUGUAAACCGCUUUCGCCUGUGACGAAGCGUGAGUGACGGUAAUGGGUAAAGAAGCACCGGCUAACUACGUG